rnacentral:rRNA from 1 species
UACGAAGGGAGCUAGCGUUGUUCGGAAUUACUGGGCGUAAAGGGCGUGUAGGCGGUUUGAUAAGUUGGAAGUGAAAUCCCAGAGCUUAACUCUGGAAUGGCUUUCAAAACUAUUAAACUAGAUAAUGGUAGGGGAUGGCGGAAUUCCUAGUGUAGAGGUGAAAUUCGUAGAUAUUAGGAGGAACACCGGUGGCGAAGGCGGCCAUCUGGACCAUUUAUGACGCUAAGACGCGAAAGCGUGGGGAGCAAACAGG